rnacentral:rRNA from 1 species
AGCAGCCGCGGUAAUACGGAAGGUCCGGGCGUUAUCCGGAUUUAUUGGGUUUAAAGGGAGCGUAGGCCGUGGAUUAAGCGUGUUGUGAAAUGCAGGUGCUCAACGUCUGCACUGCAGCGCGAACUGGUCCACUUGAGUGUGCACAACGCAGGCGGAAUUCGUCGUGUAGCGGUGAAAUGCUUAGAUAUGACGAAGAACUCCGAUUGCGAAGGCAGCUUGCGGGAGCACAACUGACGCUGAAGCUCGAAAGUGCGGGUAUCGAACAGGAUUAGAUACCCUGGUAGUCCGCACGGUAAACGAUGGAUGCCCGUUGUCAGGCUGUUUCAGCCUGGUGACCAAGCGAAAGCAUUAAGCAUCCCACCUGGGGAGUACGCCGGCAACGGUGAAACUCAAAGGAAUUGACGGGGGCCCGCACAAGCGGAGGAACAUGUGGUUUAAUUCGAUGAUACGCGAGGAACCUUACCCGGGCUUGAAUUGCAGAGGAAGGAUUUAGAGAUAAUGACGCCCUUCGGGGCCUCUGUGAAGGUGCUGCAUGGUUGUCGUCAGCUCGUGCCGUGAGGUGUCGGCUUAAGUGCCAUAACGAGCGCAACCCCUCUCUUCAGUUGCCAUCAGGUAAAGCUGGGCACUCUGGAGACACUGCCACCGUAAGGUGUGAGGAAGGUGGGGAUGACGUCAAAUCAGCACGGUCCUUACGUCCGGGGCUACACACGUGUUACAAUGGCCGGUACAGAGGGAUGGUGUAAUGCAAAUUGCAUCAAAUCUUGAAAGCCGGUCCCAGUUCGGACUGGGGUCUGCAACCCGACCCCACGAAGCUGGAUUCGCUAGUAAUCGCGCAUCAGCCAUGGCGCGGUGAAUACGUUCCCGGGCCUUGUACACACCGCCCGUCAAGCCAUGAAAGCCGGGGGUGCCUGAAGUCCGUGACCGCAAGGAUCGGCCUAGGGCAAAACUGGUGAUUGGGGCUAAGUCGUAACAAGGUAGCCGUA